GACGAAGGAUGCAAGCGUUAUCCGGAUUCAUUGGGUUUAAAGGGAGCGUAGGUGGCCUUAUAAGUCAGUGGUGAAAUCUCGCAGCUUAACUGCGAAAUUGCCAUUGAUACUGUAGGGCUUGAGUACAGUUGCCGUUGGCGGAAUAUGACAUGUAGUGGUGAAAUACAUAGAGAUGUCAUAGAACACCGAUUGCGAAGGCAGCUAACGAAACUGUAACUGACACUGAGGCCCGAAAGUGCGGGGAUCAAACAGG
rnacentral:rRNA from 1 species